rnacentral:rRNA from 1 species
UACGUAGGAAGCAAGCGUUGCCCGGAAUUACUGGGCGUAAAGGGCUCGUAGGCGGCCAACUAAGUCAGACGUGAAAUCCCCAGGCUUAACCUGGGAACUGCGUCUGAUACUGGAUGGCUUGAAUUCGGGAGAGGGAUGCAGAAUUCCAGGUGUAGCGGUGAAAUGCGUAGAUAUCUGGAGGAAUACCGGUGGCGAAGGCGGCAUCCUGGACCGACAUUGACGCUGAGGAGCGAAAGCUAGGGGGAGCAAACGGGG